rnacentral:rRNA from 1 species
GUAGGGAAUCUUCCACAAUGGGCGCAAGCCUGAUGGAGCAACACCGCGUGAGUGAAGAAGGGUUUCGGCUCGUAAAGCUCUGUUGUUAGAGAAGAACGUGCGUGAGAGCAACUGUUCACGCAGUGACGGUAUCUAACCAGAAAGUCACGGCUAACUACGUGCCAGCAGCCGCGGUAAUACGUAGGUGGCAAGCGUUAUCCGGAUUUAUUGGGCGUAAAGCGAGCGCAGGCGGUUUGAUAAGUCUGAUGUGAAAGCCUUUGGCUUAACCAAAGAAGUGCAUCGGAAACUGUCAGACUUGAGUGCAGAAGAGGACAGUGGAACUCCAUGUGUAGCGGUGGAAUGCGUAGAUAUAUGGAAGAACACCAGUGGCGAAGGCGGCUGUCUGGUCUGCAACUGACGCUGAGGCUCGAAAGCAUGGGUAGCGAACAGGAUUAGAAACCCCUGUAGUCC